GCUGGAGAGGGGGUAACUGGCAGCUCAGAAAGAGCGGUCCAGAGGAAGGUUCUGGGGUGAGUCAAAAGAACGUAAUUAUUUGAGCUGUGGACUGAAAAUUGUGCCAAGAGGGGGAAAAAAAUGCUUGGAUCAGUCAGGUGCCUGAGGGGCACAAAGAGAGGGAGCUGGAGACACCCCACACCUGAGCCCAAACUAAGAACCCCAAUUAGCACGAAGUAGGCAUAGAAACCAGGUCUCCUCACUCCGAGGUCAAUGCUCUCUCUUCAGAGGCCGUUUUGUUUUGUCUCCUGUCGGGCUCUGUGGAGUUGCAUUCACAUUCGUUUACCCCAGUACGUUAUAUUCAAGACACUGAGAGCCAAGACCUAGAGGUCUUUAGGCCCAGGAACCCAAGGCACACAUUUUAGUGACAGACGACUGACUGAGCGUUGUUCUUCCUGUCUCCGUGUUUCUGAGGAAAUGCUGGACCAGAGGAUGGCAGCUCGAUACGGCUUGGAGGCAAAGAAGACACACGGCUGCUCUCCCCCAUGUGAUGCUGCUAACACAGCUUCAGAAAGCUCAUGUGACCAGUGCACGGAGACUACAUUAUCGUCUGCAGGAGGAGACAUGACGUAUCCUUCGCACCAAGAUCUUUCCUUUAACUGAGCCCUGCAGUGGGUUGCACGCACCCCAGAGAGGCACCUCCUCGGCUUCUUCUCUUCAGUGCUGAGGAUUGAAACUGUGGCCUUGCACAUAGUAGGCAAGUAAGUGUUCUACCACGGAACUAUGUUCUCAGUCCCCGUCUCAAAUCUAGCUACAUCGCUUCUGUGCGUCUGACAGAACGAAUUCCAACAGCAGAGGAAGGCGAGAGUCCUUCGACACCAGAAGGAGGCCCUGGGGGUGGAGAAUGUCCACCUGCACCCUUAUUGUCAUCGGUGCCCUUCUCCAACAUUCCUCGGUAGCUCCCAGUCUUCUCAUUUGUCUGCAUCAUGUGACCAUUACUUUCCUCCAUUUUUCUAGAUGACCUUCUAGAUGACCUACGGCCUUCUCCGUCUCCUUCUGCUCUAGAGGCUGCAUUCUCUCUCCACUUUAUUUCUUCCAGACACCCUCACCCAAUGAGCCUUACUGACCCUUUAAGCCAGAGACCUGUAUGUGUUUCUUUAGAGUUUCCUUUGUUGAUGAACUGACCCAGACUGAACGUUCCAUAUCUGGUUUAGGUCCAGGUAGGACUAUAGGACCUCCGGGGGACUUUAGUACUAGGGAACUAUGGGUGCUGUUAGGUUGCACACAGAGACAUUGAGGUAACUCAAGGAUCAGCAGGAUAGAGUUGCCAGUCCUAGAACCAGGAGACAAAGGGACAUGGGGACGUUUCCAGAAAAGGGAAAUCAUAGCAUCUGCUGGUACAUCUGAAGAAGCCCUGCAGGGUUGGGGUUGGGGAUUGGGGUGGGAGCCACAUGUUGCUAUGGAGAGCAGGUACUCAGCCAUCUAAGAAGGGACACACUCAGGUGCCGUGAGGUUGGCAAGAACAAGAAAAAACAAAAAAGUGGCCCUCUCUCCCCCUGCAUUCCUCGUGUCUCCUCUUCGCAGACCCCAACAAAGAGACAGCUAUUGUCUCGAAAUGGGGUUUGGUCCAGAGUCAAGAGCAGGACAGAUGUGCUGUCCUCUACAGCUCAUACCGCUGAUGCAGAAUGCCAACCACAGCCAGGACUGAACUGUUGUCAUUAUUUAACAUUCAUCCACCACCACCAGGCGUGGCCAAGCUGCAGGUUCCAUGUGUCCCAGAUGUACGAAUGUGGCCCAGCACAUGUGAAGAUGACAAUGCCGUAUGGGGACAUCGAAUUUGAUCACCACCAACUACGUGGAAAGCUACACUGACUGUAUGGAAAAGCUGCAUUGACUUGCCUUCCUGCUGUCUUCACGCAUAACAAACAUCUGGAGUUUAGGGAGUCCUCAAUAGCCAUCCACUAGAAUAGAUUGACAAGAGAAGCAAUAUUAUUUUAUGUAUAGAGGGGCAGAUGUCUGUGGGAAACUGAAGUGGGUGCCGCUUCGCUGGGAGCUGGAGUUACAAGCAAUUGUGGGCCACCAGGUGUGACCACUGGGAUAUUGAGAUAAAAGCUGGGUGUGGCACAUCUGUGAUCCUAGCACUAGGCAGCCCAGUGACAGGAGGAUUCCCAGGGCAUGCUGGCUAGCCAGUCUAGGCAAAAUAGCAAGCUGCAGGCUCCAAGAGAGAACCUGUCUCAAAAAAUAAGGAGUGAUAGGAAAACAAAAUCCUUAUAUUAGCACAGAGAGAGAGAGAGAGACAGAGACAGAGACAGAGACAGAGGCAGAAAGAGACACACAGAGAGAGCAUACAGUACCAGCAAGGGAUGAGCUAAGGACAGAGAAUGUCAGUCAAAGCCUUGCCUCAGCCUGGUCCUACAGGGCCCUGGACCAUGAACUAUCCCCUAGGCCUGCUACCUCCCUGGGGGCCUUUAUGAGACACCAGCUGUAGUGGAGGCCUGUCAGGACUCAAGGAAUUCAUGCAACCUCCCAAGAGAGAUGGUUCCCAAAGAAGAGACAGCUGUGGGAAUCAGCUGUCAACACUCACAGCACGAGAUAUGGCACACCCACCUGCUCAGAGGGUUCGGGUGGGGCAAAACACACCCUCACUUCGAGGGGAGCUGUGCCAGACGUUCCCAGGUCUUUCUAGGGUGUUAGGUUUCUGUUCGAGAUGGAGUGGAUGCCUUUCAUCUUGUGGGGAUUUUUAUCAGACAUGACAGGAGCUAAAAUGUUAAUUGCCCACAUCCCUGGGUAGCCUGGGCCUUGGCAUGUCUUCUGGAGUCAGGAGCAACCACAGGCAUGGCCUCUGCACCCCAGGGGCCCCUGAAUGGCAGAUUCCAUCCCCAUAUGCUGUCCUCUGUGGAAGAAAGACAGGCCCCUCACUCCUUCCCUAGCCGCCCUGCAGGUGCCCACUCAGUGGUGGCCUGGCAGCCUGCACCAAAGAAUGUCACCCUGGCCUGAGGCCCAGCCUUAGACAAAAGCCCUUUUGGAGCUAAGCCUACAUCCUCUGGCUGACAGGGCCCCUCCCCCAUCACCAACCAGGGAGGGCAGCUAAAUUCAUCUCCCUCCAACUGAUGCUUCCCACUGGGCAAGGCCACCUCCCUACUCAGGAAGCAAAAGGCAUCUGAACCCUUGCUGGCUGCCCUUGGCUCUCAGACAAAUAGCUGACUGUCCUCACCCAGAACUGCAAAGGAUGAUCCGACACCAUCGCCCCAGAUCAGGGCACGGGGACACACACACACACACACACACACACACACACACACACACACAAAGAGGAGAACACUAUC